AGUUGGUGAGAGCUGCUGGUGUGGGGCAGGAGAAGCCAUAAGGCACUAAAAAUAACAGCACACCUCACAUCUAUCUGGAUGGCUGUUAUCAAAAGAACAGAAAGUAAUGCUGUGAAUCCUGACUAAUGCAUCUUCCAAAAGAAUCUACAGAACAGCUGGGGAGCAUGAGUCUAAGGUCUGUAGGCUCCAGAUGAAAGAUCCUGUCGCUGAUGCUGGGCCAGCCUACAAGCACCCCCCAGACAGGCUGUCACAGAACAGUAGGGCUGACGAACCACGUUCAGUUGCUUGAAUCCCAUCAUUUAGUACAUCAGUUCCAAACACACAGCAAGAAACAAAGGGAGAGAUCUGCAGUUGGUUGACACUGCAGGAUCUGGUGCCUUCAGGGUGGAAGGACCACAGCCCUGGGUCCUGGGCUAUGCAAUGUUCACAAUCCGUCUCUGUCUGCCCAUCAGUCUCCCCUGCUAACAGUGUGGUUACCAGGACCAGUCAAAUAGUCAAACAAGGAGGCUUAGCAGAUGGAAGCUGCCCAGAAACUGCACAUCCUUGUCCUACCAAAGAAACACAAGAGCACGAUCACCUGGCCAGUAUCUGGGGCUCGCCAGCUGACCUGCGGAGUGGCUGUGGGCUUUGUUUGCAUUUCUUGAGCAGAGCACAUAUGGUCCCAUCUAUCUUUGUCAUUCAUUUCUCUUAUUUUCUCCAGCAGAAUUGAAUGGUCUUAAAAGAGUGAACAUGUAUUGCAGAUGCCGUGAGAGCUAUGAUGGUGAAACUGCUGAUCUUCCUAGUACUUUAAAAAAGACUUUCUACAAAGAUCCUUUCUAUUUUGUGUGUUUGUUGUUGCAAAUAAGUACUUGAUUAGAGGCCAAGCGAAAGCUGGUGGUUUUUA
rnacentral:lncRNA from 1 species